UAUACACAUCAGACUCUGCUGAUGAUUUCUGAAUUAUUCUGCGGGUGUAAUGGAAGUUUCUCCAGACAUGUCAAAAGCUAAGUGGACAUGGAAAAGAGGACAACCUGUUUUUCAGCGUAGGAGACCACAGAAUCUACAGUACAGAACCCAGAUCAAUACAGCAGGAAAUAGUCUCGCAAAGUAAGGUUCUUUUGUAAGUGUAACUGUGAUGUAAA